rnacentral:rRNA from 1 species
UUCGGGCUUCGACCGGCGUACGGGUGCGUAACGCGUAUACAAUCUGCCUUUCACAUAGGGAUAGCCCGAAGAAAUUUGGAUUAAUACCUAAUGGCAUAUAGGGGUGGCAUCACCUUUAUAUUAAAGCUGAGGCGGUGAAAGAUGAGUAUGCGUUCUAUUAGCUAGUUGGAGAGGUAACGGCUCCCCAAGGCGACGAUAGAUAGGGGUUCUGAGAGGGAUAUCCCCCACACUGGUACUGAGAUACGGACCAGACUCCUACGGGAGGCAGCAGUGAGGAAUAUUGGACAAUGGUCGGAAGACUGAUCCAGCCAUGCCGCGUGCAGGAAGACGGCCUUAUGGGUUGUAAACUGCUUUUGCAGGGGAAGAAUAAGGACUACGUGUAGUUUGAUGACGGUACUCUGCGAAUAAGCAUCGGCUAACUCCGUGCCAGCAGCCGCGGUAAUACGGAGGAUGCGAGCGUUAUCCGGAAUCAUUGGGUUUAAAGGGUCCGUAGGCGGGCUAAUAAGUCAGAGGUGAAAGCGCUCAGCUCAACUGAGCAACUGCCUUUGAAACUGUUAGUCUUGAAUGGUUGUGAGGU